CCUACGGGAGGCUGCAGUGAGGAAUAUUGGUCAAUGGGCGCGAGCCUGAACCAGCCAAGUCGCGUGAGGGAGGACGGCCCUACGGGUUGUAAACCUCUUUUGCCGGGGAGCAACGGGCGUCACGUGUGGCGCCACUGAGAGUACCCGGAGAAAAAGCAUCGGCUAACUCCGUGCCAGCAGCCGCGGUAAUACGGAGGAUGCGAGCGUUAUCCGGUUUUAUUGGGUUUAAAGGGUGCGUAGGCGGAUCGUUAAGUCAGUGGUCAAAUUGAGGGGCUCAACCCCUUCCCGCCAUUGAAACUGGCGAUCUUGAGUGGAAGAGAAGUAUGCGGAAUGCGUGGUGUAGCGGUGAAAUGCAUAGAUAUCACGCAGAACCCCGAUUGCGAAGGCAGCAUGCCGGCUUCCGACUGACGCUGAAGCACGAAAGCGUGGGGAUCGAACAGGAUUAGAUACCCCAGUAGUC
rnacentral:rRNA from 1 species